UGGGCCAGCAGCUCCAUCGUUUUGGUCUUGUACAGGCACAAACAGCAGGUACAACACAUCUGUAGGAACAAUCUCUACCCCAACUCUUCUCCUGGGAACAGAGCCAUCCAAAGCAUCCUUGCAUUGGGUCCAGUCCAGGACAUCACAUUACGUUUAGUCAUCUUGCCUCCCCAGCCCGUUUUGCUCUGUGUUUUUGUUUUUCAUGAUCUUGACAACUUUGAAGAGCAUUGUUUUACUUUUAGAAUGUCGCUAAAAUUGAAUUUGUCUGUUGUUUA
rnacentral:lncRNA from 10 species